rnacentral:rRNA from 1 species
AUUGAACGCUGGCGGCGUGCUUAACACAUGCAAGUCGAGCGGAAAGGCUCCUUCGGGGGUACUCGAGCGGCGAACGGGUGAGUAACACGUGAGUAAUCUGCCCUGCGCUCUGGGAUAGCCACCGGAAACGGUGAUUAAUACCGGAUAUGACCGCUACACGCAUGUGUUGGUGGUGGAAAGUUUUUCGGCGCAGGAUGUGCUCGCGGCCUAUCAGCUUGUUGGUGGGAUAAUGGCUCACCAAGGCUUUGACGGGUAGCCGGCCUGAGAGGGUGACCGGUCACACUGGGACUGAGACACGGCCCAGACUCCUACGGGAGGCAGCAGUGGGGAAUAUUGGACAAUGGGCGAAAGCCUGAUCCAGCAACGCCGCGUGAGGGAUGACGGCCUUCGGGUUGUAAACCUCUUUCACCCAUGACGAAGCGCAAGUGACGGUAGUGGGAGAAGAAGGACCGGCCAACUACGUGCCAGCCGCCGCCGUAACAC